rnacentral:lncRNA from 10 species
GUUUUCUGGGGACUUCGUCCCACCUGGCUAUCUCAGAGCUUUGGUAAUUCCAACUCUUCUCUCAGUCCCUCUGGCCUAUGGAUAGUCAUCCUAAAUUCCUACUUUAAUCAUCUCUGUCUUGUCUCACUUCUUCUCUGAUUGGCUUCUCAUUUCUUUCAUCAUCCAUUUAUUAAUUUAUUUAUUAGAUUAAUUCUGUUUUAAAUGCUCAAGUGGUUCUGUUUCCUGGUUAGUCUCUGACUGAUAUAACCGCUUACCAUAGUAAGGUCUAUUCCUUGUUUCACCAG